CCUUUUCACACGCCGACAGCGGGUAUUCACCUGGGCCGUUCCCACUUGACAUCCUGUUUUACAAUAACUGCUGCAGGUAGUCCAGGUGUCUAUGAAACCUGAGGGUGAACUAAGCCAAGGUGAAAAUAGAUUCAUUUUCCACACUAUAUUUAGAGCUCCCUGCUGUUGAAUUCUGGACAGACUGGCUGCAAGGCAAAUUAAGCUGCUGUAACAGAAGCCGUAACAGGACCCGCACCAGCAGAUGUUUCAUAACAUGAAGGGUAUACAGAACUGAUUACUGUAUACUGUACUGCAAGUCAAAAGUUUGGACACACCUUCUAAUUCCAUGGUGGUUCCUGA